GACGAACGCUGGCGGCGUGCUUAACACAUGCAAGUCGAACGCUGAAGCUUGGUGCUUGCACUGGGUGGAUGAGUGGCGAACGGGUGAGUAAUACGUGAGUAACCUGCCCUUGACUCUGGGAUAAGCCUGGGAAACUGGGUCUAAUACUGGAUACGACAUGUCACCGCAUGGUGGUGUGUGGAAAGGGUUUUACUGGUUUUGGAUGGGCUCACGGCCUAUCAGCUUGUUGGUGGGGUAAUGGCUCACCAAGGCGACGACGGGUAGCCGGCCUGAGAGGGUGACCGGCCACACUGGGACUGAGACACGGCCCAGACUCCUACGGGAGGCAGCAGUGGGGAAUAUUGCACAAUGGGCGGAAGCCUGAUGCAGCGACGCCGCGUGAGGGAUGACGGCCUUCGGGUUGUAAACCUCUUUCAGCACAGAAGAAGCGAAAGUGACGGUACGUGCAGAAGAAGCGCCGGCUAACUACGUG
rnacentral:rRNA from 1 species